rnacentral:SRP_RNA from 1 species
GCCGGGCGCGGUGGCACGUGCCUGUAGUCCCAGCUACUCAGGAGGCUGAGGCUGGAGGAUCUCUUGAGUCCAGGAGUUCUGGGCUGUAGUGCGCUACGCCAGUCAGGUGUCUGCACUAAGUUCAGCAUUAAUAUGGUGACCUCCCGGGAGCCGGGGACCAUCAGGUUGCCUAAGGAGGGGUGAACCAGCCCAGGUCGGAAACGGAGCAGGUCAAAACUCCCAUGCUGAUCAAUAGUGGGAUCGCACCUGUGAAUAGUCACUGCACUCCAGCCUGGGCAACAUAGCAAGACCCUGUCUCU